AAGAACUUUGAAAUUCCCGGGGUGAUGUAUGCUUUUGCGCUUGAGCGGCAGCCAUUAAAAAGAUUUCCUGUUUUCUUCAGUUUUAGUUUGAACGUGAAGUCUCAAGAUCUCGAGAUUAGUCUGUUGUUUCAUUGUUUAAUCGCAUCAUCAAGUCAUGGUUUAUUGUCUAUCCUGCUUAUUUUUGAUUGCUGAAAGUUUUAAUGAAGGCAAAGGUGGGAAUAGAACUGCAGACGCAUAUACUAAAAUCCACCAUGACAGACAAAUAUACUAGACGAAUAUAGAUUUAAAACUCCUUUCUACAUCUGAUGGAAACCAUUUUUAGACCAAGAGCAGAGAGACUACGCCUCAUGAAGCUCAAAUCAAGGACGAUAGCAGUUCAAAGUAAAAAUAUAUAAUUAGUUAUAAAUUGAAAGUUCAAUUUUUGUAAUAUUUAAUAAAAAUCA